rnacentral:rRNA from 1 species
CGAACGCUGGCGGCGUGCUUAACACAUGCACGUCGACCGGAAAGGCCCUGCUUGCAGGGUCCUCGAGUGGCGAACGGGUGAGUAACACGUGGGUGAUCUGCCCUGCACUUCGGGAUAAGCCUGGGAAACUGGGUCUAAUACCGGAUAGGAGCCAUUUUUAGUGUGAUGGUUGGAAAGUUUUUUCGGUGUAGGAUGAGCUCGCGGCCUAUCAGCUUGUUGGUGGGGUAAUGGCCUACCAAGGCGGCGACGGGUAGCCGGCCUGAGAGGGUGGACGGCCACAUUGGGACUGAGAUACGGCCCAGACUCCUACGGGAGGCAGCAGUGGGGAAUAUUGCACAAUGGGCGCAAGCCUGAUGCAGCGACGCCGCGUGGGGGAUGACGGCCUUCGGGUUGUAAACUCCUUUCGCUAGGGACGAAGCUUUUUGUGACGGUACCUAGAGAAGAAGCACCGGCUAACUACGUG